CCUACGGGAGGCAGCAGUGAGGAAUAUUGGUCAAUGGUCGAGAGGCUGAACCAGCCAAGUCGCGUGAGGGAAGAAUGUCCUAUGGAUUGUAAACCUCUUUUGUCAGGGAGCAAAGUCCCCUACGUGUGGGUUUUUGUGAGUACCCUAAGAAAAAGCAUCGGCUAACUCCGUGCCAGCAGCCGCGGUAAUACGGAGGAUGCGAGCGUUAUCCGGAUUUAUUGGGUUUAAAGGGUGCGUAGGCGGGUUAUCAAGUCAGCGGUAAAAUCGUGGGGCUCAACCCCAUCCAGCCGUUGAAACUGGUGGUCUUGAGUGGGCGAGAAGUAUGCGGAAUGCGUGGUGUAGCGGUGAAAUGCAUAGAUAUCACGCAGAACUCCGAUUGCGAAGGCAGCAUACCGGCGCCCGACUGACGCUGAAGCACGAAAGCGUGGGUAUCGAACAGGAUUAGAUACCCCGGUAGUC
rnacentral:rRNA from 1 species